UGAAGAGUGAGGAUCUUAGCUGUCCCGUGACACUUCCUACGGCUGCCAUAGGGUCUCAGAAGGCGGUAAAAAGCUGAAUCGUGGCUUUGCAGGCUCUGGCUGAAACAAAGUAGCGCGUUUGGGUAGUGGCUGGUUACAGUACUGUGAGACUCAGGCUCGUGCCCGCAUCGACCGAAAGCUUUGUUUACUUUCCUCAGUUUAGCUAAAAGAAGAUUCCUGGUCGGAAUAUUAUCGCUUUUUUACGAGAAAAUGGCAUAAAAAUGGAUUUUAAACAGCGGUUGACAUGCUUCGAAGUACGGUAAUGGAAUAUUUAGAUUUUUUUUGUCACGAAUUGCGCCAUGCGCACGACCCUGAUUUACCAUUUCAGAUAGUGUCUGGGACGCACGAACAAAACGCCGCUAUUCGGAUAUAACGAUGGAUUAUUUUGGACCAAACCAACAUUUGUUAUUGAAGUAGCAGUCCUGGGAGUGCAUUCUGACGAAGACAACAAAAGGUCCGGGUGGUAUCGGAUCACUGAGUGAAGAAGUGACGCAAGUUGCUACCAUGCUAAGGACCUUUGCUGCUACUGGGCAAUCAGGUCUGAUAUAACACUUUUAAUGCGGCAUAUGGGAACAGUGAAUGAUCGAACGCUUGAGAUGGAUAACAAGGAGCCAUUCACCAGAACCCUGAAAUCCAGGAUGCCACGGACAAAGUGGUCCAGAUUCAAGUCACCCAUUACCUGAAAGGGGCCUCCGAUCAUGAAGGUGAGAGAAGGCGGCGCACAUGGGAGCGAAAUCUGCUGCGGUGCGGGUCAACAUCAAGUCUGCCCUUAUUUUGAAGAUGUCCUCCAGAGACAGGUGUUUUAUACAACAGAAUUCUGUGUUCUCUUUAGGACUCUUUCUGUAUUUGGCAAUCAUCUCUCUGUUUCCAAUUGUAUAAAAAAAAGCUACGUUAUAGAAAUUUUAUAGACAGAAGCACACUACAUGGCAGACCAAUCUGAACUAAUUUAUCGGCAUGUCCAGCCCAUCCAACAUCUCAGCCAAUCAUGACUAGCGGGAAGGUUCCUGUAUUUUUCUAUGCUCGUAAUUUAGCAAUUGUAUUAAUAUCUACAGAUGGCAUACAAGUUUGUUAUUAAGGCACAUGGAAAGUUCACGUUCCAGCAAAAAAAGCAUUUUGAUUAAAACAAAUAAAAAAUGAAUGCCUCAUAUGUAGUGACGUG
rnacentral:lncRNA from 1 species